AGUGGUAAGGAAGACACGAAUCUUCAGGAACUGGAGAAGAAGGCUGUUGCUAACGUGCAGACAAAAUUGGAGAAGGGAAUAUACAAGAUACAACAGCCUGCUGAAGACAGCCCGCCAGAGGACGUUGGAGGUGAACUGAAGUCGCUGAGCGAAAGGAUGACGAGUAUGGAGGGAGAUCUCAAAGCAAUAAGGACUCUAUUAGAGGAUCUUAACAAAAAAUAAUCAUAUCUACAGUUCCACAAACUAUAGUAAACGGACCAAGGCAUUGUCAUAACAGACAACUACAUCUGGACAGAUCUAGUUAUUUUGGGCAUGCAUAUGUGUUGUCCAUUAUCAUAUAAGUCUCUAGUUGUAAAUACAUUUUAUAUAGAUGCAAAAUGUUGACAUCCGUGCUAUGGUGCUUGCUUUGAUAGUUCAUAAAAUGUACAUCCAUAUGAAAGAGUACCAGUUUGUUUAUGCGUAGUUUUCAGCUUGUGGGCACAGCCUUACAUAUAAGGGGUAUAGUUUAGAAUUGCUACUUUCAGGUGAUGCUAUAAAUCUUGAAUAAUUAAGCGUCUGCAUGACAAUUACAAGUUAGAGGUAGUGUUUUUUUAAUGAUUAUCCAAAUUCAACUUCUGUAAGUUCAGAGAAAUUGGAUGAUGAAAUUUCAUUUUGUUCAUACUGUAUGACAUGAACGAGCUCAUCUCUGGUUUAGGUGCUAGAAUUGUGAAUGUAUGAAUCACAUUAAAACUUUAUCACUGU